rnacentral:rRNA from 1 species
CCCUUAGAUGUUCUGGGCCGCACGUGCGCUACACUGAUGAAUUCAACGAGCUCCUAACCUAGGCCGAAGGGUCCGGGUAAUCUUUGAAAUUUCAUCGUGAUGGGGAUAGAUUAUUGCAAUUAUUAAUCUUCAACGAGGAAUUCCUAGUAAGCGCGAGUCAUCAGCUCGCGUUGAUUACGUCCCUGCCCUUUGUACACACCGCCCGUCGCUCCUACCGAUUGAAUGGUCCGGUGAAAUGUUCGGACCGCGACAAGGCGGACGGUUCGCUGUCAGCUUUGCUGCGGGAAGUUCAUUAAACCUUAUCAUUUAGAGGAAGGAGAANUCGUANCA